AUGCGCAUAUCUUUGCCUUGGGACGUCGAUGUCUAUGCUACAAUGGGACGUCAUCGUACCAGUGAGGCCGAGGAGAUCCCUAGCGAGAUGCUACAGGAAAUCCUGAUGAAGCUGCCGACCAAGGACGUGGCCCGGUGCUGCCGCGUCUCCCGGCAGUGGCGCAGCGCCGUGAGAGACCCCUCCUUCCGCAAGCUCCACGCAGCGAGCCAUGCCGCGCUCUCGGCAGAGUCCGAGCUCUUGCGCGUAUCCAACAUAGGCGAGGUCGGCCAUAUCGGCUCGAGCGAAAGGACCGGCGUCUUCAGCGUAUCUUCAGGCAAGGCCAUGUGCUCCGUCACCAUCCCCCACGGCUACGGCCUCGCCAACAUCUGCAACGGCCUCCUCUGCUUCGUUGACAGGGACCACAACGCCCAGGCGCCGGCGGUGGUGUGCAACCCCGCUAGCGGGGAGACGCUGGCUCUUCCCGAGGCCCCUCCGCUCAGCAACGAGGACGAUGAUUAUCUCUUCGCCUUGGGGUUCAGCCCGCCCACCGACGAGUACAAGCUGUUCCGCCUCUCUUUCCCGCCAUACUCAUACUCCUCCGAAGAACGGGUGGACAUGGACGUCUACACCUUGGGUGAUGCCCGCGGAUGGCGCAAAGACUCGUUCCUCUCACCCUCUCGCCCAGCCACAAAAGAUUACACUUUGGCGCCAGUGCUGAUCGAUGGUAAACUUCACGUGGUCACUAGAGGCUGGAAUCAAUUCGCAAGACAUGAGGCUGCCGGAGGAGUGCUGGUAUUGGACGUGCCUGCCGAGACGAGCCGCACUUAUCCUCUCCCGGAUAAUCUCGGGACCUAUCCAUAUGAUAAUCCGCUGGCCUUUGAGCUGAAGGGGCGGCUGUGCUUGGCCGCACACGUGCUCAGCGGUGGUCGCCCCAAGGCCCUCCGCUUCUGGGUCAUGGACAACAAGGAAACGGACGAUGAGAAGGAACCACACUGGGAUUUGCGCUACAGCUUCUUCGUGGAAGCGGAACAUUCCUUCGACAUCUCAAGGCCGUGGAGUGCAUGGUUUGAACAUGAGACGCUCUGCUACACCCGCAGCAACACCUUGCACAAGUAUGACACGAGGUUGUCCAUUCCUGACCACAGUCAACUGCUAAAGUGGAACAAGCAGCUCCAGCAAACUACAGUAUCACGCAAAUGGCGAUGGGUCAUCCAUCAGGGUUACCGUCCCACUCUGCUCUCGCCUCACGUCUUUGAAUUGUCGUCGUCGUCACAAGACGAGACAAUGAUGGACAUAUGCUCCUAA
rnacentral:rRNA from 1 species